UGUGGAUCUUUGACGGUGACGUAAAUGAAGUUGGUGACGCUGCAAGGGCCCUGGGAAGAGUUCUNUUUUCUCCUUAACCGCCUACGACCCUGGAAUCGGAUNAUCCGGAGAUGGGGUUAGAUGACGGGUAGAGCCGACACCUCUGACGUGUCMGGUGCGUVCUUGACAGUCCUUGAAAAACCGACGGAACGUNAUAAGUCUCACGCCUNGUNGUNCU
rnacentral:rRNA from 1 species